GACGAACGCUGGCGGCGUGCCUAAUACAUGCAAGUCGAACGCUGAAGGAGGAGCUUGCUUCUCCGGAUGAGUUGCGAACGGGUGAGUAACGCGUAGGUAACCUGCCUGGUAUCGGGGGAUAACUCUUGGAAACGAUAGCUAAUACCGCAUAACAGUAGAUCUUGCAUGAUAUCUGCUUGAAAGGUGCACUUGCAUCACUACCAGAUGGACCUGCGUUGUAUUAGCUAGUUGGUGAGGUAACGGCUCACCAAGGCGACGAUACAUAGCCGACCUGAGAGGGGGAUCGGCCACACUGGGACUGAGACACGGCCCAGACUCCUACGGGAGGCAGCAGUAGGGAAUCGUCGGCAAUGGACGGAAGUCUGACCGAGCAACGCCGCGGGAGGGAAGAAGGUUUUCGGAUCGUAAAGCUCUGUUGUAAGAGAAGAACGAGGGUGAGAGUGGAAAGUUCACACUGUGACGGUAUCUUAACAGAAAGGGACGGCUAACUACGUG
rnacentral:rRNA from 1 species